rnacentral:rRNA from 1 species
GACGAACGCUGGCGGCGUGCCUAAUACAUGCAAGUCGAGCGGACGAAUUUUGGUGCUUGCACCAAAUUUUCGUUAGCGGCGGACGGGUGAGUAACACGUGGGUAACCUACCUUAUAGACUGGGAUAACUUCGGGAAACCGAGGCUAAUACCAGAUAAUACUUUUGAACUCAUGUUCAGAAGUUGAAAGAUGGUCUUGCUAUCACUAUAAGAUGGACCCGCGGCGCAUUAGCUAGUUGGUGAGGUAAUGGCUCACCAAGGCAACGAUGCGUAGCCGACCUGAGAGGGUGAUCGGCCACACUGGGACUGAGACACGGCCCAGACUCCUACGGGAGGCAGCAGUAGGGAAUCUUCCACAAUGGACGAAAGUCUGAUGGAGCAACGCCGCGUGAGUGAUGAAGGAUUUCGGUUCGUAAAACUCUGUUGUAAGGGAAGAACAAGUAGCGUAGUAACUGGCGUUACCUUGACGGUACCUUAUUAGAAAGCCACGGCUAACUACGUGCCAGCCGCCGCCGUAAAAC